rnacentral:tRNA from 1 species
GGCGACGUAGGGAAGCGGCUUAACCCCCACCUCUGCAAAAGGGGGUUUCAGCAGUUCAAAUCUGCUCGUCGCCU